AGGCUACAGGGAGAGAAAAUUAGAUCUUGGGACAGGAAAGUGGAACUGAUUUCAUGCUUGGCCAAAUAGGGGUUUAAGCAGAGAACCUUUGUGGUGAGAUAACAGAAUCAGAAGGGACUGUCUGGGCAACUGCGAGAUUUGCAGUUUUUCCAUGCAGCCAACCAAGACAUUGGGCUUAGCAUCAUCCCAAAUGGCUAGCAAACUGAGACACAGUGAGUGGAUAUCUGAUAUUUGUAAAGAAAUCUACAGGAGGUGAAGCUUGAUGUUCUGAUUGUGUUUGGAGGCAGGGGUAGCUUGGCAAACUGUCAGUGUAGAACAGGAAAAGCAGGCACAUAUUGGGGAGUGCAUUCAUCAGUGGGCCCUGACUGGAUGUGAGAAGAUGUCUCGCACUUGAGGAGGUGAGCUACCUUUUUCGGAUUUUUGUAAGUGUUUUUUUUUUUUUACCUUUUUUCUUGUGACAAAUUCUACCUUGUGUUGAAGAGGUGAAGGCUGCAACAGAUUCCUGCAUCAGAGGACUUCAUGUUGGACACGACAAGGAGAUGUCCCAUCCUUGGAUGGCUGUGGCAAGGACUUUGCCCAAGGUGAACCCAACCCUUCUACGAUGACGCCUCUUUGCCACAGGGUGUCUUCAGAUUUUGGACCAGAGCCUACCAAACUGUACACAUGCCUCAGUGGCUGCUACAUCACUCUGCCCAACUGGAUCCAGCUCAGAUUUUUUUUUGAAUGGACUUCACCUCCUAAUGCCAGAGACUCAUCCAGCCCAGACCCCCACGCGCACUGACCCACAAGCACUCAUCAUAAAACAUUACAUGCAUAUGAUGCAGAACAACAUUCAAAGUCAAAGCUAAACUGUCAUUUAUUUAUUUUUAGUGUAGUCACAUAUUUUGGGUGUAAUUCAGUUUAUGGAUAAUAUGAAAUACUUUAAAUCUGGCAUUUGUUGGCACAUUUUUGAUAUCCAUUUUAAGUCUUGAACUGUUUACUCAGACUUUAUGCACUGCCAUCAGCCUUUGUAGUUUUAUCCAUCACCAAACAAACUAGAAAUUCGGUGUUAAGUCUGACUUGUCUCACUCUGCCAAGUUUAGUUCCUGCUAAAGACUCGAGUUGAACCUUUUUGUGUUCAUAAAGCCUUUUUGCGCGUUAUGUUGGGAGGCCUCCCAGCAGGGGAUUUCCAUCAUCCCCUGCAAAACCAUGCGUUACUCGUGUCUUGUAGGGAUGCAGGGAUAUCCUGCAGAGUUUCAUAAAUGGGAUUAUCCUCAUUGGAUAGGUUGCAGGAUUAGAGUGAGUUUCGGUUCUUUAGGAGAAAACAAACCUGGCAGAGAGACAACUCAUUAACUGAAGGUUCCACAAAGUAUGAGAACUUUAUCCUUUCUCUUAUGGACAAUUGAUAUGAAACCUUAUUCUAUUCUGAAUUCCAAUGUGGACUUUACCACCUAAAGCCAGAGACAACCUAGAACUCCUGCGCCCACUGACCCACACAUCACAAAACAUUACAUGAACAUAUUGGGGAGUGCAUACAUCAGUGGGCCCUGACUGGAUGUGAGAAGAUGUGUCGCACUUGAGGAGAGGUGAAGGCUGCAACAGAUUCCUGCAUCAGAGGACUUAAUGUUGGACACGACAAGGAGAUGUCCCAUCCUUGGAUGGCUGUGGCAAGGACUUUGCCCAAGGUGAACCAACCCUUCUACGAUGACGCCUCUUUGCCACAGGGUGUCUUCAGAUUUUGGACCGGAGCCUACUAAACUGUACACAUGCCUCAGUGGCUGCUAGAUCACUCUGCCCAACAGGACAUGGUCACAGAUCCAGCUCCGAGAUUUUUUUUCUUGAAUGAACUUUAACUCCUAAUGCCAGAGACUCAGCCAGCCCAGACCCCUACACACACUGACCCACAAGCACACAUCACAAAACAUUACAUGCACAUGAUGCUGCAUAACAUUCAAAGUCAAAGCUAAACUGUGAUUAUUAUUGGAGGGUUUUUCAGUAAGUGUAGUCACAUAUUUUGGGUGUAAUUCAGCCCAUGGAUAAUAUGAAAUACUAUAAAUCUGGCAUUUGUUGCACAUUUUUAUAUCCAUUUUAAGUCUUGAACUGUUUACUCAGACUUUAUGCACUGCCAUCAGCCUUUGUAGUUUUAUCCAUCACCAAACAAACUGGAAUUCGGUGUUAAGUCUGACUUGUCUUACUCUGCCAAGUUUAGUUCCUGCUAAAGACUCGAAUUGAACCUCUUUGUGUUCAUAAAGCCUUUUUGCGCGUUAUGUUGGGAGGCCUCCCAGCAGGGGAUUUCCAUCAUCCCCUGCAAAACCAUGCGUUACUCGUGUCUUGUAGGGAUGCAGGGAUAUCCUGCACAGUUUCGUACAUGGGAUUAUCCUCAUUGGAUAGGUUGCAGGAUUAGAGUGAGUUUCGGUUCUUUUAGGAGGAAACAAACCUGGCAGAGAGACAACUCAUUAACUGAAGGUUACACAAAGUUUGAGAACUUUAUCCUUUCUCUUAUGGACAAUUGAUAUGAAACCUUAUUCUAUUUUGAAUUCCAAUGUGGACUUUACCACCUAAAGCCAGAGACAACCCAGAACUCCUGCGCCCACUGACCCACACAUAACAAAACAUUACAUGCACAUAAUGCAGCCCAACAUUCAAACACAGACACUCCUAUUUUCAACCUGUAUUUAUUGCCCUAUUUAUACCAAGAAAAUAUUUGUAUUGUAUUUUUCUGUGAUUGUUUGCUCUGAAUUAACUACACUGAAUAGAAAAACAUAAUAUUCCAAUCUGGUUUAAAGAACAAUAGAAUUUUGUCGUGAAAUUACAUUUGGUUCAUGCUCUCAUCUAAGAAUUACAGUGGCCCUCAGGUCACUUCAAACAAACACGCUCUCUACAGCCAGUGUUUAAUUUGAUCGACAUGGUGAUACAAAAUGUCAAACUCUGUGGAAGAGGACCUGCUCCCUGUGUUUUUAAUUUUUAGGUCAUCAUAAAUGAAUAAAGUUGUGUUAAAUUUCCAUUGAUUUUCCCUUAAUCCUAUCAAAAAGUUGUAAAAGUGCAGCAUUUCUCUAUUUAUUCACAAUAUAGAGAACAAAGUGCAUAAAGUCUAUGUAUUGAACGUGGAUGGGGCAUCUCUUAAUGUAGCUUUCUCCACCAUUAUUCUGCUAUAAACUCCCUCUUCUUCGGCCAAUUAACUCCCCAAGUUUUCCUCAUUCAUUUUAAGCAGCGCCGCCAUGAGGAGACAUGAAGUAGCAACACCCUGCAAGU